AACGAACGCUGGCGGCAUGCCUAACACAUGCAAGUCGAACGAGACCUUCGGGUCUAGUGGCGCACGGGUGCGUAACGCGUGGGAACCUGCCCUUAGGUUCGGAAUAACUCCCCGAAAGGGGUGCUAAUACCGGAUAAUGUCUUCGGACCAAAGAUUUAUCGCCUUUGGAUGGGCCCGCGUUGGAUUAGCUAGUUGGUAGGGUAAAAGCCUACCAAGGCGACGAUCCAUAGCUGGUCUGAGAGGAUGAUCAGCCACACUGGGACUGAGACACGGCCCAGACUCGAGCGGGAGGCAGCGGUUAGGAAUAUUGGGCAGUGGGCGAAAGCCUGAUCCAGCGAUGCCGCGUGAGUGAUGAAGGCGUUAGGGUUGUAAAGCUCUUUUGCCCGGGAUGAUAAUGACAGUACCGGGAGAAGAAGCACCGGCUAACUCCGUG
rnacentral:rRNA from 1 species